rnacentral:rRNA from 1 species
AGCGAACGCUGGCGGCAGGCCUAACACAUGCAAGUCGAACGAACUCUUCGGAGUUAGUGGCGGACGGGUGAGUAGCACGUGGGAACGUGCCUCUUGGUUCGGAAUAACUCAGGGAAACUUGUGCUAAUACCGAAUGUGCCCUUCGGGGGAAAGAUUUAUCGCCAUUAGAGCGGCCCGCGUCUGAUUAGCUAGUUGGUGAGGUAACGGCUCUCCAAGGCGACGAUCAGUAGCUGGUCUGAGAGGAUGACCAGCCACACUGGGACUGAGACACGGCCCAGACUCCUACGGGAGGCAGCAGUGGGGAAUCUUGCGCAAUGGGCGAAAGCCUGACGCAGCCAUGCCGCGUGAAUGAUGAAGGUCUUAGGAUUGUAAAAUUCUUUCACCGGGGACGAUAAUGACGGUACCCGGAGAAGAAGCCCCGGCUAACUUCGUG